AGAGUUUGAUCCUGGCUCAGGACGAACGCUGGCGGCGUGCCUAAUACAUGCAAGUCGAACGCUUCUUUUUCCACCGGAGCUUGCUCCACCGGAAAAAGAGGAGUGGCGAACGGGUGAGUAACACGUGGGUAACCUGCCCAUCAGAAGGGGAUAACACUUGGAAACAGGUGCUAAUACCGUAUAACAAUCGAAACCGCAUGGUUUUGAUUUGAAAGGCGCUUUCGGGUGUCGCUGAUGGAUGGACCCGCGGUGCAUUAGCUAGUUGGUGAGGUAACGGCUCACCAAGGCGACGAUGCAUAGCCGACCUGAGAGGGUGAUCGGCCACAUUGGGACUGAGACACGGCCCAAACUCCUACGGGAGGCAGCAGUAGGGAAUCUUCGGCAAUGGACGAAAGUCUGACCGAGCAACGCCGCGUGAGUGAAGAAGGUUUUCGGAUCGUAAAACUCUGUUGUUAGAGAAGAACAAGGAUGAGAGUAACUGUUCAUCCCUUGACGGUAUCUAACCAGAAAGCCACGGCUAACUACGUGCCAGCAGCCGCGGUAAUACGUAGGUGGCAAGCGUUGUCCGGAUUUAUUGGGCGUAAAGCGAGCGCAGGCGGUUUCUUAAGUCUGAUGUGAAAGCCCCCGGCUCAACCGGGGAGGGUCAUUGGAAACUGGGAGACUUGAGUGCAGAAGAGGAGAGUGGAAUUCCAUGUGUAGCGGUGAAAUGCGUAGAUAUAUGGAGGAACACCAGUGGCGAAGGCGGCUCUCUGGUCUGUAACUGACGCUGAGGCUCGAAAGCGUGGGGAGCAAACAGGAUUAGAUCCCCUGGUAGUCCACGCCGUAAACGAUGAGUGCUAAGUGUUGGAGGGUUUCCGCCCUUCAGUGCUGCAGCUAACGCAUUAAGCACUCCGCCUGGGGAGUACGACCGCAAGGUUGAAACUCAAAGGAAUUGACGGGGGCCCGCACAAGCGGUGGAGCAUGUGGUUUAAUUCGAAGCAACGCGAAGAACCUUACCAGGUCUUGACAUCCUUUGACCACUCUAGAGAUAGAGCUUCCCCUUCGGGGGCAAAGUGACAGGUGGUGCAUGGUUGUCGUCAGCUCGUGUCGUGAGAUGUUGGGUUAAGUCCCGCAACGAGCGCAACCCUUAUUGUUAGUUGCCAUCAUUUAGUUGGGCACUCUAGCAAGACUGCCGGUGACAAACCGGAGGAAGGUGGGGAUGACGUCAAAUCAUCAUGCCCCUUAUGACCUGGGCUACACACGUGCUACAAUGGGAAGUACAACGAGUCGCAAAGUCGCGAGGCUAAGCUAAUCUCUUAAAGCUUCUCUCAGUUCGGAUUGUAGGCUGCAACUCGCCUACAUGAAGCCGGAAUCGCUAGUAAUCGCGGAUCAGCACGCCGCGGUGAAUACGUUCCCGGGCCUUGUACACACCGCCCGUCACACCACGAGAGUUUGUAACACCCGAAGUCGGUGAGGUAACCUUUUGGAGCCAGCCGCCUAAGGUGGGAUAGAUGAUUGGGGUGAAGUCGUAACAAGGUAGCCGUAUCGGAAGGUGCGGCUGGAUCACCU
rnacentral:rRNA from 1 species